rnacentral:lncRNA from 1 species
GGUUUGUUCUGCUUUAUCAGCCACAUUUCCUCCCUUUAGCUUUACCUUACAAUUCUUCUUGAUGUGUCCAGGCAAGUUACACCGAUAGCAUCGAAUAGUGCUUCUUUUCCCGUUGGCACUCUUUGGUGGCUCUCCCCCUUCAUCUUUUCUUCUCUCUCUUUCAUUCUUUUCUCUGGUCUAUAGACUUUCUUCUCUCCAGAGAAUAAGGCGUCACCUUGAAAGGAUAAGGAGACUCCAGCCAUUUGUUUUGCUAGAAACUCUUGAGAAGAGAGAAGAUUCUCAAGCUUAACAAGGGAGGGUUGAUUAGUCCACCCCUAAAUAGAAGUGACAAAAGGAAUAUAUUCUUUGUUUAAUCCUCGAAUAAUAUUCCUUUUCAUUCGAGCCUCCGAAAUAGGUUCCUCCGGAUCAAGAGAAGAAAUUUCCGAACAAAUAUUUUUAAUUUUUAAGAAAAAUUCGGAGAUUGAGAGCUCACCUUGAGUAGUUCGUGCCAACUCAUUCUCUAAGUAUUGCAGCNNNN